rnacentral:rRNA from 1 species
CGCGGCCUAUCAGCUUGUUGGAGAGGUAACGGCUCACCAAGGCAUCGACGGGUAGCUGGUCUGAGAGGAUGAUCAGCCACACUGGGACUGAGACACGGCCCAGACUCCUACGGGAGGCAGCAGUGGGGAAUCUUGCACAAUGGGCGAAAGCCUGAUGCAGCAACGCCGCGUGCGGGAAGAAGGCCCUAGGGUUGUAAACCGCUUUCAGUAGGGAAGAAAAUGACGGUACCUACAGAAGAAGGUGCGGCCAACUACGUGCCAGCAGCCGCGGUGACACGUAGGCACCAAGCGUUAUCCGGAUUUAUUGGGCGUAAAGAGCUCGUAGGCGGUUUGGUAAGUCGGGUGUGAAAACUCUGGGCUCGACCCAGAGAGGCCACCCGAUACUGCUAUGACUAGAGUACGGUAGGGGAGCGGGGAAUUCAUGGUGUAGCGGUGAAAUGCGCAGAUAUCAUGAGGAACACCAGCGGCGAAGGCGCCGCUCUGGGCCGUAACUGACGCUGAGGAGCGAAAGCGUGGGGAGCAAACAGGAUUAGAUACUCUGGUAGUCCACGCCGUAAACGUUGGGCACUAGGUGUGGGUCUCAACCAACGAGAUCCGCGCCGUCGCUAACGCAUUAAGUGCCCCGCCUGGGGAGUACGG